AUUCCCUGGGUGAGCCUAGCCAGCAGGUGCACUCCCCAAAAUGGUUCGACUGAGAGGCAGUUUAUGGUUAUCCUGGCCAGCAAAUGGGGAGAUAGUGUCCAGGCUCUGCACCCUGUUUCCCAGUUCAGACAUUUCGAAUGCCUCUCAUGUCCUCCCCAGAGCAAGACAAUGUGGCCAGCAUCUUGGCCCCCAACCAGGAGUUGGAGGAACUGCAAUCUGGUGGAGACAUACCCCGAGCCAGCCUCUGUUCACCAACUGCUUACAAGGAUGAGGACACUGGACCCUGCUACGAGUUCUAUGCCAACUCCGUAGUCCUGGGAUGGCUCCAUACAGCUUGGCUCCUGUAUGAUUCAACGUGCUUCCGAAAAUAGGACUGACAUGGGUGUGCAGAAUGGGAGCCGCCUGGGCGCAAAGUGCCAGUAUGGCUGGGAUUUCAGCAGUUGUCGAGAGCAAGGGUCCUGCCUCUGUGGGCUCUCUAAUCACUAUGAGCCGAGCUGAGUAUCAUUGCCCCCACCAUCGCCAACUUCCUCCUCUGUUCCUGUGCCCUCAACUUUGGCUGUCUCUACGCCUCCCUUACCUGGUUGUCUGGUUAGUGUGGGCAGGUGUUCAGUGAUGACUUUGACUACAACUAUGGCAUAGGCCUCAUAAGGAUGCCAGGAGGGUUAAGCCCGGCUACUCAACACCAAGCUCAAGCAUCCUUAUUCCAGCAGCCUCAAUGUUCCAAUCCAAGCAAGGCCGGAGGGCAGUGGACGUGUACUGGCUCGGUGAUGAUGAAGGUAGGGACUCCAUGGCUCCCCAGGAAGUCCCAAGUUCUCCAAGUUCCAGGGAGAAUAGGAGAGGGAAGAUAGUGACAUAUAAACCAGAAAGGACUAGAAAAUGAACUCUGCAUUUACCAAGUACCCAAUACUCUCCUCCCACCUCAGAGGACAACUGUGGUGUUUAAAGGCCAACAGAAAAGCCCGUGUUGCUGGAGCAGCGCAAACAAGGAAUUGAGUAGCAGAUCAAAGUGGUAGGCAGGGAAGGGCAGAGUGGAUCACAGAGGGUCUCACAGGCCUUUAAAUAGACUGGCCAGCCGCCCUGUCCGGGAGGGAGGUGGGGGGCGCCUCUGCCUGGCCGCCCCUUCUGGGAAGUGAGGAGCCCCUCUGCCCGGCCGCCACCCGGUCUGGGAGGUGUACCCAACAGCUCAUUGAGAACGGGCCAUGAUGACGAUGGCGGUUUUGUCAAAUAGAAAAGUGGGAAAUGUGGGGAAAAGAUAGAGAAAUCGGAUUGUUGCUGUGUCUGUGUAGAAAGAAGUAGACAUGGGAGACUCCAUUUUGUUCUGUACUAAGAAAAAUUCUUCUGCCUUGGGAUGCUGUUAAUCUAUAACCUUACCCCCAACCCCGUGCUCUCUGAAACAUGUGCUGUGUCCACUCAGGGUUAAAUGGAUUAAGGGCGGUGCAAGAUGUGUUUUGUUAAACAGAUGCUUGAAGGCAGCAUGCUGGUUAAGAGUCAUCACCACUCCCUAAUCUCAAGUACCCAGGGGCACAAACACUGCGGAAGGCGGCAGGGCCCUCUGCCUAGGAAAACCAGAGACCUUUGUUCACAUGUUUAUCUGCUGACCUUCCCUCCACUAUUGUCCUAUGACCCUGCCAAAUCCCCCUCUCCGAGAAACACCCAAGAAUGAUCAAUAAAUACUAAAAAAAAA
ensembl:lncRNA novel transcript